CAGAGAGAAGAAAACUGUGUGACUUUAAAAGAAAACCAGUGAGAUAAAAUCACAGAAAAUGUAUGAUGAUUCAGGAUGUGGUCAUUUGGUCCUGUUCUGUGGAUGCCCUAAGACAGUGUCUACCCAUCACUCCAUCUGAUAUCACUUGUUCUGAGCAUGUUUCUCUACAGAGAGCCUGUGGAUAGAGGAUGAAGAGUGACCUUGGACUAAUUUUCUAGGUCAAAGAUCAUAGGUGAUGUGAAGAAAACCAGGAAACGGAUGUUGAAAGAAGUACUUAAUGACCCUUAUGAAUGGACUUAAAUGUGAAAGACUGUUCCAUUGUUUAUCUAAGAUAUAUGAAUUUAUUUCAUAUUUUGAUAUCAUUGAAAAAUUCAGUUACAGUUUUUGUACAUCAAAUGAAUUAUUAA